CACUGGGAGAUUCUAAUUCUCAGCAAUGCCUGCCCAGUGCGAUUAAAAGUCGUAAACGGCCGCCCUAGCGUGAGGGUGCUAAGGUAGCGAAAUUCCUUGCCUUUUAAUUGUAGGCCUGCAUGAAUGGCUUGACGAGGGCUUAACUGUCUCUGGUUUAUGAAGUUUAAAUUGGGUUAAAGGUGAAGAUACCUUUAUAUAAAAGUAAGACAAGAAGACCCCGUGCAACUUUUAAAGUCAAUUUAUUAAGAAAUUUAAGAUUUUUAGGUGGGGCGCCUACUGAGUAAUAACAACCUCUGUGUAUGAUGAAACUUUCGAGUGUAGACCCGACAAUGUCGAUCAUAGGAGAAGUUACGCCGGGGAUAACAGGCUAAUUCACUAGUAGAGAACGUAUUGGCUAGUGGGAUUGGCACCUCGAUGUUGAAUCAGGGAUGAUAUCUUUAAGGCGUAGAAGCUUUAAAAGUGGGUCUGUUCGACCUUUAAUACCCU
rnacentral:rRNA from 1 species